AGCAUCAGCAAUCAUUUAAGAAUUUGUUGAAAUUCAAAUCCUAGAGCUCCACCCCAGACCCACUGAAUCUCUGGGGCUGUAGCCCUGCAGUCUGUUUUAACAAGCCCUCUAGGUGACGCUGAUACAGGCAAACUUUUGAGACUCAGCUCUGGCUGUAGAAGAACUAAAGGAUUCUGCUGUGAGGUAAUAGAAAAGGAGUAAAUUUGAAUGUGAUGAAUAUGCUUAACUUCCUAAACAAGAAAAAUGAACCCUGUUUAUAGUUACAACUGACAGGGGAAAAAAACUUGAGAGUUACAGGUAGACUUUAGAUUUUGUAAUACUUAUUUUUAUGCAAAAAAAAUUAAUCAACCAAUUUUUUUUCUAGCUGGGAUCUAGCAAUUGGGAGGCAGCAGACUUGGGUAAUGAAGAGAGAAAACAAAAGUUCUUGAGACUUAUGGGUGCAGGAAAGAAAGAACAUACUGGUCGUCUUGUUAUAGGAGAUCACAAAUCAACAUCUCACUUCCGAACAGGUAAGAAAGUAAAGUGUAAUUAAAAUGGAAGUGCUAAAU
rnacentral:sRNA from 1 species